GAUGAACGCUGGCGGCGUGCCUAAUACAUGCAAGUCGAGCGAACAGACGAGGAGCUUGCUCCUCUGACGUUAGCGGCGGACGGGCGAGUAACACGUGGAUAACCUACCUAUAAGACUGGGAUAACUUCGGGAAACCGGAGCUAAUACCGGAUAAUAUAUUGAACCGCAUGGUUCAAUAGUGAAAGACGGUUUUGCUGUCACUUAUAGAUGGAUCCGCGCCGCAUUAGCUAGUUGGUAAGGUAACGGCUUACCAAGGCAACGAUGCGUAGCCGACCUGAGAGGGUGAUCGGCCACACUGGAACUGAGACACGGUCCAGACUCCUACGGGAGGCAGCAGUAGGGAAUCUUCCGCAAUGGGCGAAAGCCUGACGGAGCAACGCCGCGUGAGUGAUGAAGGGCUUCGGAUCGUAAAACUCUGUUAUUAGGGAAGAACAAAUGUGUAAGUAACUAUGCACGUCUUGACGGUACCUAAUCAGAAAGCCACGGCUAACUACGUGC
rnacentral:rRNA from 1 species